rnacentral:rRNA from 1 species
UAGGGAAUCUUCCGCAAUGGGCGAAAGCCUGACGGAGCAACGCCGCGUGAGUGAUGAAGGUCUUCGGAUCGUAAAACUCUGUUAUUAGGGAAGAACAAAUGUGUAAGUAACUAUGCACGUCUUGACGGUACCUAAUCAGAAAGCCACGGCUAACUACGUGCCAGCAGCCGCGGUAAUACGUAGGUGGCAAGCGUUAUCCGGAAUUAUUGGGCGUAAAGCGCGCGUAGGCGGUUUUUUAAGUCUGAUGUGAAAGCCCACGGCUAAACCGUGGGGGGUAAUUGGAAACUGGAAACCUUGAGUGCAGAAGAGGAAGGUGAAAUUCAAUGGGAAGCGGUAAAAUGCGCAGGGUUAUGGGGGAACCCCAGUGGCAAAGGCGACUUUUUGGUCUUUACUGACGCUGAUGUGCGAAAGCGUGGGGAUCAAACAGG